GUAGAUUAUAUUUAUUAAUUUUAUAAAUUUUAUUUUAAAAUAUUAAAAAUAAUUAUAAUUUUUAUAGUUUUAGUAUUUUUUAAAGAAAAAAUAAAUUUAAUAAUAGUUUAAUAGUAUUGUAAAAGAAAAUUGAAAUAAUUUGAAAAAUUUUUAUAUUAAAAGAAAAUUUAAUUUAUUGUACCUUGUGUAUCAGUGUUUAUUAAAUAAAAAAUAUUUAUAUAUUUUUCUCGAUUUUAAAAGAGUUAAUAUAAUAUUAAAGUUAAUGUGAUAAAAUUAUUUUAAAUAUUAUAUUAGAAAUGAAAUGUUAUUCGUUUUUAAAGGUAUCUAGUUUUUCAAGAAAUGAAUUUAAUUCAGAAAUUAUAAAGUUAUUUAAAAAAUUUAUAAGUUAAAUAUUUUAUAAUUUUAAUAUUUUAUGGGAUAAGCUAUAAAAUAAAUUUUUAAAAAUAAUAAAUAAAUUUAAUAAAUAUAUGCUUAGAAUUAGCAAUUAUUAAUAAUUAUGUUAUAAUUUAUUUUAUACAAAAAAUUAUUUAUUAUAUUUUAAAUUUUUAUUGAGAUAUUAAUUUUAAUUUUUUUAAUUAAGAAAUAAUGAUAGAAUUAGUAUAUUUUAUUGUUAAAUAAAUAAAAAUGAUAAGUUAAAGUAAAG
rnacentral:rRNA from 1 species